GAUGAACGCUAGCGGCAGGCUUAACACAUGCAAGUCGAGGGGUAGAAGGAGCUUGCUCCUUUGAGACCGGCGCACGGGUGCGUAACGCGUAUGCAAUCUACCUUUUGCAGAGGGAUAGCCCAGAGAAAUUUGGAUUAAUACCUCAUAGUAUGUGAGGAUGGCAUCAUUUUCACAUUAAAGUCACAACGGCAAAGAUGAGCAUGCGUCCCAUUAGCUAGUUGGUAAGGUAACGGCUUACCAAGGCUACGAUGGGUAGGGUCCUGAGAGGGAGAUCCCCCACACUGGUACUGAGACACGGACCAGACUCCUACGGGAGGCAGCAGUGGGGAAUUUUGGACAAUGGGCGCAAGCCUGAUCCAGCAAUGCCGCGUGCAGGAUGAAGGCCUUCGGGUUGUAAACUGCUUUUGUACGGAACGAAACGGUGAGCGUCUAAUACAGUUUGACUAUAGACGGUACGUAAGAAUAAGCACCGGCUAACUACGUAGCCAGC
rnacentral:rRNA from 1 species